GGGCCAUAGGAAACUGUAAUGGUGGUUCAGCACAUGUAGCUCUGUUGACUUGUUUGUUGUUUUGAAGAUGCCUACAGGUCUUUACCACUUUACUCUUUACAACUCACCACCAUAGUUUGAUUCAUUCAACAAUUUGAAGCUUUGUUACAUGGAAAAUCUAUAGCUUACACAGGUUUGAACUUGAAUAACUUGAAUAACUUUGAACAUUUUGAGACUUAAAAACUCCUGCUAAUGGCCUAGCUAUCUCCUGCUCCCUGCUGUCGGCUGAAGCUUCUACCGGCCCGCUUGAUUACCACUUACAUCACCUGGAUCAUUAAGCUGUGUGCAGCACCUGAACUCCCCGUCUGAGGCCGGAGGAACACGAGCCAGCGCCACUGCUGAGAGGCCCUACCCCCGCUAAUCACAGGUCAUCGCACACCCCCUCAGCUCCCCUCACCCCCUCCUGACACUCCCAGGCUCCUCCUUAGUGCUGUUGGGAUUGUACACUCCGUGUACGAUAACAUCUCCAUCAAUCAUCAUCAC
ensembl:lncRNA